UCUUGAGAGUGUGUCAGGGUAGUGGGGGCUAUUUCAGAGCUAUGGAGAAGAGGAGAGAUGGGCAGCCGUUGGUCAUGCCCACAGGAGUUAGGCCAGCCAAAGGAUGCAGCCCAUCUGUGAGGAGGAGGAUUUGAGUGUUAUGUGAAGAAUGCCCCCCUUCCUUGCUGAGGUCUGAGGGGAGAGUCUUUGCACCAUGUAGCAGAAACAAAGGUUUUAAAUUGAAAAGGACACAAGCAGUUCAAAGGAGAAAGUGAGACAGAAGAACCAGAUUAAAACAAAGGAGGAUAAAGCCAUGGCUAUCAUUAGGCAGACAGCUAAAAUGUGCCUGCUCUUUGCCCCAAGGGCUCACUAAGGAAAAGAGGGUGGAAAUCAGUGAGAAUAAAGACAUCGGGAGCUGACAGAAAUGUCCAAAGGGCAGAAAGAGUAAAGAAGAGAGCUGGAGAGACUAAGUAGAUUGCUGCACUAACAAGGCGUUGGACGAGAAGAUCUCCAAGGUCCCUUCCAACUCUAAUAUUCUAUGAGAAACAUCUGGAAAGUGGAAGUUAAGCAAAGUAGCAGACAGGAAACAAAGACAUCAGCAAGGAAAUGUCCAAAUAAAAUUAUU